rnacentral:rRNA from 1 species
GAUGAACGCUAGCUACAGGCUUAACACAUGCAAGUCGCGGGGCAGCAUGGGGGUUGCUUGCAAUCCCCGAUGGCGACCGGCGCACGGGUGAGUAACGCGUAUCCAACCUGCCCUUCACCACGGGAUAACCCGGCGAAAGUCGGACUAAUACCGUAUGUUGUCCAUUGACGGCAUCCGAUUUGGACGAAAGGCUUGGCGGUGAGGGAGGGGGAUGCGUCCGAUUAGCCAGACGGCGGGGUAACGGCCCACCGUGGCUACGAUCGGUAGGGGUUCUGAGAGGAAGGUCCCCCACACUGGAACUGAGACACGGUCCAGACUCCUACGGGAGGCAGCAGUGAGGAAUAUUGGGCAAUGGGCGUAAGCCUGAACCAGCCAAGUAGCGUGCAGGAUGACGGCCCUAUGGGUUGUAAACUGCUUUUAUGCGGGGAUAAAGUGGCCCACGGGUGGGCUUUUGCAGGUACCGCAUGAAUAAGGACCGGCUAAUUCCGUG